UCUACUACACAGGGGGCUUGUGAUAUUCCGAUAUUUCUGCACAUGACGUGUUCGUCUUCAGAAUUCAAACAAUUCAUAGUGGAUGUGUACACUAGUAUGCGCGAAUGUCGAGCAUAAAACGGUCGUGAUUUUCUAAUAGUGUGGAUAUUUACAGCUAUCAGUCGAUUGGAAACAUAACAACAGAUCGUUCGAACUUAGCGCAUUGUUUUUAAACUCAAACUUUUAUCACUUAAAGUGAAUAUUAACACCUAUUGAUCGAUUGCGAACUUAUCAUAGUUGAUAUUAAUAACAGAUCGUUGAGACUAAGUGUAUAGUGUAAAACUUUUAUCAGGGUGUUUUUAAAAUAGCGUGUUCAUAUUGAAUCACGCUGUUUGCUGCUGUAGUGUUUAAACCGUUUCCAGCGGAUUAAACAUAGCGAGUGUUCAUCUUUGGAACAAAAUCAAUCGAUUGCAAAGACUGUUAAGAGAGAAUCUUUUAUUGGCUAAAGGUAAUUAUGAGCAAUGUGUUAUAAUUGUGUAUCUUGAAUUGACUCGACUUAACAAAUGAAGCGAUAAAGGAUAUUUAUAGGAUUAGUGGGCUGCUGCUCAGAUAGAAAACAUAAUAAGAGUAGUUGACGUGAAUUUACCCAGAUAGCAUGUGUUAUUGUUCGUGCUUCGACAUUUUUUUGCUGUAAUUUACACUCAAUUAAAUUUCGUCGUUGGACUGAAGUCAAAAAUCCGCGAGCGUUCAUGAAUAGAGAAUGCUCAUAAAUCGUGUUAUUUUGCGCAUAAUUUCAUGAAGGAAGAAUUUACCAGAAUAAUAGGAUAACACUAGAGAACUUUUGUUUAGAUUCCUAGCUUUAAAAGAGACGUAUAAUUUAAGAAAAGGAAAAAUGGGUGCUAAGCAAGGUAAAUUAAAAGCGAGAUUGAAAGGCUCGAAAAUAGCAAAGAGACUAAAGCAGGGACCUCCCUCAAUAACAGCCGCACAGAAACAGAUUCUGGAGAAAUCCUGGUCUACGAUGAGAGAAGACAUAUCACAAGUGGGAAUUAUCACUUUUAUAGGGUUCUUUGAAGCUAACCCGGAAGUAAAACAUAUGUUUGUGUCAUUCCGAAGUGUACCUAUUGCGGAUUUGCGACAAAGUUCGUUGCUAAGAGCCCAUGCUUUACGUGUUAUGAGUAUGGUAGAGAAAUGUGUUACCAGAUUAGACGAAUUAGAUAAAAUAGAAGAAACCAUGAAAAAUCUGGGUCAAAGACAUUUAAAAUACGAUGCCGUUCCAGAAAAUAUCGAUUUAAUGGGUCCGCAUUUCGUCCAAGCCAUCAGAAAAUGUAUGGAAGCUGACUGGAACAAGGAAACGGAGGAGGCGUGGUUUCAAUUAUUCAAAUUGAUGACGUAUUAUAUGAAAGAGGGAUGGAAGUGACGUGUAUCAUUCGUCAUAUUGGCCGACUGUCGAGACGUCUGAUUGAUUGACAAGAAUGUGACAAGUGUGCUACUGACGUUUGAUCAUCGAAAACAAUAGAAUAAUAUUCCAUUCCAUUUAAUUCGACAGGGACUUUAUAUAAAACAAUCACCAUCCUGUCUAUCAAUAUGUGCCUGCUAGUGAGAGCUUUUUUGUGGAAACUAGAGGGAGCUUAUUAAAUUCAGAAUCUUUUAAUGAAAAUGUAUAUAACUCGAAUCAUAUAGGCUAUACUCGACUGAGCUUUCCAAUAACGCCUCAUACACAUCACAUGACAGUUGUACCCACACACUACCUCGGUUAUUGAGACUGAUAUAACUACGCCAAGGCUGAAUUCCAUGCCAGUCAUAUAACUACGCCAAGGCUGAAUUCCAUGCCAGUCAUAUAACUACGCCAAGGCUGAAUUCCAUGCCAGUCAUAUAACUACGCCAAGGCUGAAUUCCAUGCCGGUCGAUUGUAAUUACGUCAUAUCGGAACGUUCCGGAAAAUAAACAAGGUUACAUUUCGCAUUUAACAAUAACAAUACAUUAGGUUACGAUAUUAAUCUAGGUGGAAACGGACAUUUACCCCAGGGACUAUUAUUUUCGAUUUAAUUGCCUUAAAUGGAGUGUUAAAAUUAAUCUUGUAAUAGCCCUAUUGGGAUACAUUUAAUGAACCAAGGGACCCAAUAUUAAUGCGUGAAAGAUAUUACGGUUAAGUUGAACAAUGUAGGAAUGAAUGACUGAAUAGAAUGGUGCUUAACGUGCAAGUGUUCUCUUCCAACCUGGAUAAUUAAGACGGGCAUACUCCAUGGCAGUGUGGGUUGUGGGAAAUUUUACCCUGACAGCAAUUACGUACACGCCACUGUGUCUAUUUAAAAGAACUUAUUUGAUUGAGUGUUUCAUUAUAUAAAAGAACAAUAGAAAAAAAUGGUGGUCGUGAAAUUCUUAAUUUAAUUGAGAACUGGUGUUACAGAAGGAGUAAAGAAAUGUCUGAUUGGACGUUCCGGGAUUGAAUUCCCUCAAUUUAGCGAAUAGCGACAAUCAGUUGAUACAAAUUAUUUCAACCAAUCACAACAGCCGAAACAUAUUUAAAAUUACAUCACGAUUCUACUCACACACAAUCUGAUUAAAACACCGAUCCUAUUUCGUUUCGUUUUUUAUAGUACAAAAUUUCGUUUUACUUGUCUUAACCACACUAGGAUCUGGAAGAGGUGUGAUAUAACCCACUUUCUGAUUGAUGUGAGGGAUUAGCCAAUGAAACGGUCUAUUACGGCGAGUUCUUGGCGUGCUGUGCACGGAAAUGUGGGUAAACCACUAGAAACGUCAACGUGGUUUGAUUAAUCAAUGUCUUACGUCAUGGGGUCAAAAGUCGCUCGUAUGAACCCCGAAGCGACCUUCCACUACAACCGGUAAGAUCUUCAUGUAGUAGAGGCCAUCGAAAGUAUAAAAAAACGGAAUAUAGAUCUGUAUUUUAAUCAGAUUGACUGACACAUAUUGAAAGAACUGUGACGGGUCUGAAUUCCGUGUAAUUCCACCGUACUGUCCAUUCGGACCGUUUCAGAUUAACAAUCGUGUAUCCCUUUAGCAGAUACGGGAUUCGAUUCGAUUCUAUGAAAACUAUUUUACAUUAUUAUAAAAUGUGACUUAGAAUCAUUAUCGAUUGUCACAUUGUUGUUGUAUAGCGUGCAAUAAUGUCUGUGUGGGAUUAAAAACUUUAGAUCAGAAAAGAUUGAGCAGUCGACAAUGAAGAUAUAAAGGAGUUAUUGUAUUUGAUGCCGGAAAUAAAUGAGACGGGGUGAUUUAUCUAGAUUUAAAAGUUUCCGCUGUAUCUGAAAAAAAUUCCUGUCGAUUUCAAGAUUCACUAAUGAACAUUUCAGUGUUAUAAAAACAUCCGUUUAAACGGAAACUGACUCAAAUAUAUCCACUUGAAAACUUGAGUGCCGUUAAUUCUGUUCAUUCAGUAGUCUGCAUCCGCUUCCAGAGCAUUUCACCAAAUGUUUUAGUUAUAAGUUAAACCUAGACAAAAUAACCAUAUCGAAAUGGAUUCAAACAACUAAAGAUACAUUAUGUAAGAUUUAGAUCAAGAGCUGGCCGUUCUUGCUAUAAUAUAUAUAUAGGUCAAAAACAGAUAAUGUAAAAUGAAUAUGUUAAAAAUUUCAUUCAAAUUACUAUAUUCUGAAACAUGUUCCGUCUUCAUUAGCCCAGUCGGAGCAGAACAGUAGGACGUUUAACCCCAUUUCAUUUCAUUUCUAAAACAAGUUAUCACUAUUUGUAGUUUUGACAAGAUGUGUGCAUUGCUUGUAUAUUAUCGUAACCACGGAACUGGUAUAUUCGAGACUUAGCUUCAAUUUUUAAAUUAAAUCAUUAAAUGGCUGAAUCGUUCUAAUCUAGUUAAGAUCUAGCAUCCGAUGGCAUCGACAGUUGAUUAUGGUCUUGUUCUGUUAAACGGAAAGGCCUCAAGAAAGACCUGUAUUUUUGAAUUAAAUCAUUAAAUCGCCGAGACUUCUAGUUAAAAUCUCGAGCAUCUGAUGGCAUCGAGAGUUAAAUAUGGUCUUGUUAGGUUAAUAAACAUCUGAUUAAUGUGAUUAAUUUAUCUUUAACACAACUUUAGUUUAUGCCCAGUAUGGUAUAAAUAACAUCGAAUACGUCCAAGUACAAAUACAUUUUUCGAGUUUACACAGGAUUGAAUUCGAACGCUUGACUCACCACAUAACGUGGUGUAACCUACGGCAAAUUUCUUCAGCUUACAAAAGACACCGAAAUACUAGAAUCUCUGCAUUACGCUAUGCGGUAAUCUUAUUAUGCUGAGUUUCGUUCAUGCUGAAAGGGUAGUCAGUGGCGUCUUCAAUGUCUCCCAAAUCCUAACAAAUAUUUUGUUUUUAAUGAUAUCAUUUUGGCAAUUGCAUUCAGCUUGAUUGGGAAACUGUUAACGUUAUGAACAAGGGUAAAGGGAGAGAACUAUCAGUGUUGUUUCCUGGAAUCCAGUCGAUCUGACAGUCGAUUUUUGUUCAACUUUCGAUGGCCACUUUAUGGCAGGUUAACUUUUCAGAUUCCACUGAAGUGAAGAAAACAAAAUGAAAUUUGAAUAUUAAAAAAAACGAAACGUAAUAGAGUCUACGAUUUAAGCAGAUUGGGAAUUCGACAUAAAAUUAUAAUGAAUCAAAACCUGCGUGAGGCAUAAGUAUUACCUUAUGGAAUGUAGGCAAUCAGUUCUUAAUGGGGCAGUUGGUUUUUUUGGGGUUUUUUUUUUAAGGUGUGGGCCUCUGAUGAUUGCGGAAAUAGAAAACAGUGUACGACGCAUGCGUGUUAUUCAUGAUCAGGAAAUUGCUUACUUCCCGGGAAAACAUUGUCCCGUGUCUUACAUGAUUAAUCCAUUGCAAUGGGGGAAAAUAUUCGCGCGUGGGCUGUUAAUAAUAGCAGACUAGCCAUGGUUAACAAGCUAUUUCCAGUACCACAAAGUCUUAAUUAAACAUCAGUUCUUUGCUUUGCUAGUCCAAUCGACAUUCAAAAUAGGGUGUGUGGGGUGAUCGAUUGGUUUGCCAUUGACCCAAGUGGCGUUGUUUUGACGCCAAGCUUGUAAAUAGCCCUACGCACAAGCGAAUUAUUGAAAUUAAAUGUAUAUGUUACUCCUUGUGAGGUGUGGGGAGUGUUGAGAUUACUUUAAAUUCCCAUCUCACUUGUAUCUAGCCAUAAAAAUUACCAAACAUUUAGUAAUAAGUACGACCAUACUGUGAAGCAGGAUUUCGGAGUACUGUAAUUGGCGGAACCUUGGGCCUUUUUAUUGAGCGUCGUCACAAGAUUGCGAGUGUGGAUGCAGUUCCUGGUUCAAAUCUAUAUAUGAACCUGCCAGCAGCAAUAUGUAAUAUAAUAAACAUAUGAUGUUUGGAUGAUAUACAUGCAGAAGAAUAACAUUAAUUAUAUCACACACAUACAAUGUGACACAAUCCAUGUCCACGGGAUAUCUAAAAAUGUAGAUGAGAUUUUUAAAAUGUCGAUUAUCCCAUAGAUAGGUUUUCCUCCCGAUAAAGAUGUGAGAACCAGUACAUUCGUCGAAAUUUUGCCAAAAAUAAGCAUCCAAGUAAUUUAUGUUCAAUAUGCAUGUCCGUUUCUACAAUACCGCCUAACAACAUAUUUCAGCUUUAUAACAGUAUCUAACUUAAACCAAUUAACGGCAGUUCUUAAUGAAAAAUGUUGGUGUCCACCACUUUAACAUAUGAUGAGACUGGUUAAACACAUUCCAAAUAUAAUUUUAGCAUAGCAAUCUUUGCUAUGAUUGAUGAUUCCGGGAGUGAAACAAUCAUAGGAAACUAUGUGUUAUUGCCGACGGAAGUGCAGUGGACACCAACAUUAUCCUUUAUCUGAAUCUUUAAUUUAAAGACAUUAUUUGUUAUAGUACUAUCUGGUGUAUAUGAAUCUUGAAGAAAGCGCGAAUACCAUGAUUGUACUAUUUACGCUUUUCUUCUUUAAUUUUGUAUGUAGAUAUUUUUAGUUGUAACCAGGUUUUAGAGCAUAUUGAGCUCAAAAUGGCCUUAUAAUGUUUAUUGUAAUAGAAGUGCAUGUAAUAAAUAAAGCAAACAUCUUUGUAUAAAACGAA